AAGGAUUUAUAGAGCGUGAUAAACAGCACUCCACCCGUCGUCUGCUCCCAUGCAGCCACUUGCGUGACAGGGUUUUCGGUUGAAAGUCCACACAAACAAAUUUCUCAACAGAUUUUUAUUUUAAUUUUUUUGCUAAUUUAACAACGAAGGCGAUUUCUGCUUUCUAUCCGAUAAAAUCUAAUACUUAAAUUUGGGUUGCUUAUUUUUAGGCAUGGCUGACACUGCAUGGCAUAGAUCGUUCACAUGGCCGUUUCAAGAAACUACGACUUUUUAAUGGUCGAAUUUCGACGUCGUGACCAGUUGGAAAGUAAUAAACCAAGUUAAUAUUUGCUAUCGUUUUCCCAUCGAGCUGUCCUGCCAUCUAGCGGCAGACGAUACAAACGACCUAACAGACUACACAGAUCCGCACCGAAAGUCAAAAUUAUCUACCCGAUCGCCAAAAAAGCUACCCGAUCGGCGCGGGGCCGAGCCCUAAACACAGGAUUAAUUAUUUUUUUGUUGUAAAUUUAUUAUAACGCACGUAAUAAAUACAUAAUUAACCACAAA